rnacentral:rRNA from 1 species
GACGAACGCUGGCGGCGUGCUUAACACAUGCAAGUCGAACGGAAAGGCCCUGCUUUUGUGGGGUGCUCGAGUGGCGAAUGGGUGAGUAACACGUGAGUAACCUGCCCUUGACUUUGGGAUAACUUCAGGAAACUGGGGCUAAUACCGGAUAGGAGCUCCUGCUGCAUGGUGGGGGUUGGAAAGUUUCGGCGGUUGGGGAUGGACUCGCGGCUUAUCAGCUUGUUGGUGGGGUAGUGGCUUACCAAGGCUUUGACGGGUAGCCGGCCUGAGAGGGUGACCGGCCACAUUGGGACUGAGAUACGGCCCAGACUCCUACGGGAGGCAGCAGUGGGGAAUAUUGCACAAUGGGUGGAAGCCUGAUGCAGCAACGCCGCGUGCGGGAUGACGGCCUUCGGGUUGUAAACCGCUUUCGCCUGUGACGAAGCGUGAGUGACGGUAAUGGGUAAAGAAGCACCGGCUAACUACGUG